GACGAACGCUGGCGGCGUGCUUAACACAUGCAAGUCGAACGAAGAGCGAUGGAAGCUUGCUUCUAUCAAUCUUAGUGGCGAACGGGUGAGUAACGCGUAAUCAACCUGCCCUUCAGAGGGGGACAACAGUUGGAAACGACUGCUAAUACCGCAUACGAUCUAAUCUCGGCAUCGAGGAUAGAUGAAAGGUGGCCUCUACAUGUAAGCUAUCACUGAAGGAGGGGAUUGCGUCUGAUUAGCUAGUUGGAGGGGUAACGGCCCACCAAGGCGAUGAUCAGUAGCCGGUCUGAGAGGAUGAACGGCCACAUUGGGACUGAGACACGGCCCAGACUCCUACGGGAGGCAGCAGUGGGGAGUCUUCCGCAAUGGACGAAAGUCUGACGGAGCAACGCCGCGUGAGUGAUGACGGCCUUCGGGUUGUAAAGCUCUGUUAAUCGGGACGAAAGGCCUUCUUGCGAAUAGUGAGAAGGAUUGACGGUACCGGAAUAGAAAGCCACGGCUAACUACGUG
rnacentral:rRNA from 1 species